rnacentral:rRNA from 1 species
AGCGAACGCUGGCGGCAGGCCUAACACAUGCAAGUCGAACGAACUCUUCGGAGUUAGUGGCGGACGGGUGAGUAACACGUGGGAACGUGCCUUUAGGUUCGGAAUAACUCAGGGAAACUUGUGCUAAUACCGAAUGUGCCCUUCGGGGGAAAGAUUUAUCGCCUUUAGAGCGGCCCGCGUCUGAUUAGCUAGUUGGUGAGGUAAAGGCUCACCAAGGCGACGA